GCACCCGUAGCUCAGUUGGAUAGAGCAGUUGCCUUCUAAGCAACGGGUCGCAGGUUCAAAUCCUGCCGGGUGUA
rnacentral:tRNA from 1 species